rnacentral:rRNA from 1 species
CCUACGGGAGGCAGUAGUGGGGAAUAUUGCACAAUGGGGGAAACCCUGAUGCAGCGACGCCGCGUGAGUGAAGAAGUAUUUCGGUAUGUAAAGCUCUAUCAGCAGGGAAGAAAAUGACGGUACCUGAUUAAGAAGCCCCGGCUAACUACGUGCCAGCAGCCGCGGUAAUACGUAGGGGGCAAGCGUUAUCCGGAUUUACUGGGUGGAAAGGGAGCGUAGACGGCAGCACAAGUCUGGAGUGAAAUGCCGGGGCUUAACCCCGGAACUGCUUUGGAAACGGGGCAGCGAGAGUGCAGGAGAGGUAAGUGGAAGUCCUAGUGGAGCGGUGAAAGGCGUAGAUAUUAGGAGGAAAACCAGUGGCGAAGGCGGCUUACUGGACUGUAACUGACGUUGAGGCUCGAAAGCGUGGGGAGCAAACAGGAUUAGAUACCCCGGUAGUC